AUUGAACGCUGGCGGCAUGCCUUACACAUGCAAGUCGAACGGCAGCACGGGAGCAAUCCUGGUGGCGAGUGGUGAACGGGUGAGUAAUAUAUCGGAACGUGCCCAGUCGUGGGGGAUAACGCAGCGAAAGCUGUGCUAAUACCGCAUACGAUCUACGGAUGAAAGCGGGGGAUCGCAAGACCUCGCGCGAUCGGAGCGGCCGAUAUCAGAUUAGCUAGUUGGUGAGGUAAAGGCUCACCAAGGCGACGAUCUGUAGCUGGUCUGAGAGGACGACCAGCCACACUGGAACUGGGACACGGUCCAGACUCCUACGGGAGGCAGCAGUGGGGAAUUUUGGACAAUGGGCGCGAGCCUGAUCCAGCAAUGCCGCGUGCAGGAUGAAGGCCUUCGGGUUGUAAACUGCUUUUGUACGGAACGAAACGGUGAGCUCUAAUACAGUUUGCUAAUGACGGUACCGUAAGAAUAAGCACCGGCUAACUACGUGCCAGCCGCCGCAGUAAGAC
rnacentral:rRNA from 1 species